rnacentral:rRNA from 1 species
GAUGAACGCUGGCGGCGUGCCUAAUACAUGCAAGUCGAGCGAACAGAUGAGGAGCUUGUUCCUCUGACGUUAGCGGCGGACGGGUGAGUAACACGUGGAUAACCUACCUAUAAGACUGGGAUAACUUCGGGAAACCGGAGCUAAUACCGGAUAAUAUAUUGAACCGCAUGGUUCAAUAGUGAAAGACGGUUUUGCUGUCACUUAUAGAUGGAUCCGCGCCGCAUUAGCUAGUUGGUAAGGUAACGGCUUACCAAGGUAACGAUGCGUAGCCGACCUGAGAGGGUGAUCGGCCACACUGGAACUGAGACACGGUCCAGACUCCUACGGGAGGCAGCAGUAGGGAAUCUUCCGCAAUGGGCGAAAGCCUGACGGAGCAACGCCGCGUGAGUGAUGAAGGUCUUCGGAUCGUAAAACUCUGUUAUUAGGGAAGAACAAAUGUGUAAGUAACUAUGCACGUCUUGACGGUACCUAAUCAGAAAGCCACGGCUAACUACGUG